AACGCGAAGAACCUUACCUGGGCUCGAACGGCUUUGGAACAUCCUUGGAAAUAGAGCCUUCCCGCAAGGGACCUGUGUAGAGGUGCUGCAUGGCUGUCGUCAGCUCGUGCCGUGAGGUGUUGGGUUAAGUCCCGCAACGAGCGCAACCCUUACUCAUAGUUGCUACCCGCAAUGGAGAACUCUAUGAGGACUGCUCCGGAUAACGGAGAGGAAGGUGGGGAUGAGGUCAAGUCAGCAUGGCCUUUAUGUCCAGGGCUACACACGUGUUACAAUGCGCGCCACAAAGCGUUGCAAACCCGCGAGGGGGAGCUAAUCGCAAAAAAGCGCGCUCAGUUCGGAUUGCAGUCUGCAACUCGACUGCAUGAAGCCGGAAUCGCUAGUAAUGGCGCAUCAGAACGGCGCCGUGAAUACGUUCCCGGGCCUUGUACACACCGAGUAUA
rnacentral:rRNA from 1 species